rnacentral:tRNA from 1 species
AUUGNUUUUACUUGGCCUNNCAAACCCAAGACUAACAGUACGAAAACUGCCGUUGUAAUUCAACUAUAAAAACC